rnacentral:rRNA from 1 species
UACGGGGGGGGCUAGCGUUGUUCGGAAUUACUGGGCGUAAAGGGCGCGUAGGCGGUCUGCUAAGUUGGAUGUGAAAACUCUGGGCUUAACCCAGAGCCUGUAUUCAAUACUGACAGGCUAGAGUUCUGGAGGGGAUAGCGGAAUUCCUGGUGUAGCGGUGAAAUGCGUAGAUAUCAGGAGGAACACCGGUGGCGAAGGCGGCUAUCUGGACAGAGUCUGACGCUGAGGCGCGAAAGCUAGGGGAGCAAACAGG